UACGGGGGGGGCAAGCGUUGUUCGGAAUUACUGGGCGUAAAGGGCUCGUAGGCGGCCAACUAAGUCGGACGUGAAAUCCCUCGACUCUGAACUGGGACUGCGUCUGAUGACUGAUCGGAUGAGUGGGAGAGGAUCGCGGAAUUCCAGGUGUAGCGGUAGAAUGCGUAGAUACUCUGGAGGAACACCGGUGGCGAAGGCGGCAUCCUGGACCGAUGUGACGCUGAGGAGCGAAAGCCAGGGAGCAAACGGG
rnacentral:rRNA from 1 species